rnacentral:rRNA from 1 species
AGUGAACGCUGGCGGUAGGCCUAACACAUGCAAGUCGAACGGCAGCACAGUAAGAGCUUGCUCUUACGGGUGGCGAGUGGCGGACGGGUGAGGAAUACAUCGGAAUCUACUUUUUCGUGGGGGAUAACGUAGGGAAACUUACGCUAAUGCCGCAUACGACCUACGGGUGAAAGCAGGGGAUCUUCGGACCUUGCGCGAUUGAAUGAGCCGAUGUCGGAUUAGCUAGUUGGCGGGGUAAAGGCCCACCAAGGCGACGAUCCGUAGCUGGUCUGAGAGGAUGAUCAGCCACACUGGAACUGAGACACGGUCCAGACUCCUACGGGAGGCAGCAGUGGGGAAUAUUGGACAAUGGGCGCAAGCCUGAUCCAGCCAUACCGCGUGGGUGAAGAAGGCCUUCGGGUUGUAAAGCCCUUUUGUUGGGAAAGAAAAGCAGCAGGUUAAUACCCCGCUGUUCUGACAGUACCCAAAGAAUAAGCACCGGCUAACUUCGUG